CAGUAGGAAACAGAUUUAUUCCAGCUGUAUUGCAAGUGAUUGACAUGAAACUUUGUGCCCAACUUCUAUACGGCACACCAGUGUGGAUUUCAGGUGACCUCAAGAGGUUGGAUAAAUUCCAUGCAUCCCUUCUGAGGUCAUUAUUAGGACUUGCAAACUCUGUAAAAUAUGAAACAAUAUGUUGUGAGCUGGGAAUAUUGCCUUUAUCAGUAAGAGCAUGGUUGAGGACCUUGAAAUAUUGGAUCUUCCUCCAUUAUAGAGCCCUAUCCCCUAAUUCUCUACUUUACGAUCUUUUAAGUGAUAGUGCAAUCUACAAUCUAUCAUUGAUUUGUAGGAGAAAACUGGAUUCGAUAGGGCUCACUCUAAUUGAUUUUGAAACCUCUGAUCCCAAAGACAUAUGGGAAAUUAUCAGGAAGACUCUUACAGAAAAAAGUGUUCUCGCCAUGCUUGAGGCUGCAAAGCACAGCACUUGCUCUCCUAUCCACUUAAAUCUCCCUUUGUGUAGAGAUUUCCAAAAGGGAUACAUGACAAAUCUGAAGAAACAUGAAUCGUGUAGGCUGUUUAUGUUGGCCAGAUUCAACAUGUUUCCUCGGUGGUAGUGAGAGGAAGAUACUUAGCUAUCCCAGAAUCAGAGCGUCUCUGCAAAUGCAGAAAACAGGAACCUGAUACUCUAGAGCAUAUAUUCUUUUCCUGUGAUUUUGGUAGUUAUGCCAGAAAACAAUUAUUUGAGGCCCUAAAAGUUAAUAGACAGAUUUUUACUCAACCAACUGUUCAGGACCUGCUGGCGGACAGCGAUGAUCAAACCACUAUAAUAGUGGCUGAAUUUUUAAGUGCUGUCCAUGAAGAAAGAAUGGGCCAUGAUAAAGAGACUUAGUGGUUUUUAAUGGUAGGUGAUGUUGCUGUGUUGUUGUAUUAUAUUAUCUAUGUACAUCGAUUUAUUUCUUGGAGUUAAGAAUAGGACUGGGAUAAAUUGUGUUCGCUGAGCCCGUAUUUUAUACAGUCUGUAUAUGAUGUUUGUUUGUUACUGUGUGGUGUGCUAUGCCUAAUAAAGGAUUUAAA